rnacentral:snRNA from 1 species
GGAUGUGAGUGCUAUCUGGGUGCAACAUCUGUCGGCCCAUUGACCACCAGGGUUGAUUCGGCUGAUCUGGCUGGCUCAGUGGGUGUCACCUCCUCCCUCACUGCUCCAUGUACGUCCCUCAUUCAAAGAGGACGACCUUCCCCACUAGAGAAGGACCAUUCUUAAGUCAAGGGUAUACAAGUGGCUGUGCUCCCCUGAUAGAACCUCCAAAGAAGCUCUCAAGGUCCAUUUGUAGGAGAACGUAGGGUAGUCAAACUUCCAAGACUCCAGACACAUUCGAAUGAGGUGCUGCCUUU